UACGUAUGGGGCAAGCGUUAUCCGGAUUUACUGGGUGUAAAGGGAGCGCAGGCGGCCUGGCAAGCCUGAUGUGAAAUACCGGGGCCCAACCCCGGGGCUGCAUUGGGAACUGCCAGGCCGGAGUGCCGGAGAGGCAGGCGGAAUUCCUAGUGUAGCGGUGAAAUGCGUAGAUAUUAGGAGGAACACCAGUGGCGAAGGCGGCCUGCUGGACGGUGACUGACGCUGAGGCUCGAAAGCGUGGGGAGCAAACAGG
rnacentral:rRNA from 1 species